AGAGCCAUGGAGAUGCAGAAGAAGGUCAUGCAGAGUGCGCCGCGGCGAGCCCGACGCCUCAGACGCCACAGCAGGCUGACUCUGUCCAUCGCUGCCCCGGGUAUCUGCAAAGACAGAAUCAAAGGAUGUGUUUGGGGUGUGAACUCUUCAUGGCCUUCGCUCAGUAAGACCAGACAGGAGCUGGUUUAUUAAGUCUGCUAACAUCGAGCUGUGUCCAUCUUCCACCUCGAUGUGGUUUAUUUGUGCAGGCGUGGAGCAAAAUGACCACACUGACAGUCCAGAAGUGUAAACGCUGCAACUCUGGGACUGACAUUCUGUCACAUGAUGCCAAUAAUCAGACUUCACUCUUCUGACCGCUGUCACGCUAUCUGAAGUAACACGCCGGCGGUCCGCACAGCUUUAGCGACUCUCGUUAGGAAAUGACUUCAGAGCCUCGCUCUCUCCACACGCUGAUGUCUGAGCGAUGUUCAGGAGUCGAGGGGCUAUUUGUCUGAUAACUGAUUGGUCAGUAGGACAUGAUUGAUCUCUAAGGUAGUACACAACACUCCAGAGCAGCACAAGUUACCAUAGCAACGUAACAAGUGAACUGCGUUGGUAUGUUAGAAUUUAUAUU